rnacentral:rRNA from 1 species
UUGAUCCCGCCAGAGGUUACUGCUAUCGGAGUUCGAUUAAGCCAUGCGAGUCUAAAGGUUUCUUUCGAGAAACCUUGGCGGACUGCUCAGUAACACGUGGAUAACCUACCCUUGGGACUGGAAUAACCCCGGGAAACUGGGGAUAAUACCGGAUAGAUCAGGGAUGCUGGAAUGCACCUUGAUCCAAAGCUCCGGCGCCCAAGGAUGGGUCUGCGGUCUAUCAGGUUGUAGUGGGUGUAACGUACCUACUAGCCGACGACGGGUACGGGUUGUGAGAGCAAGAGCCCGGAGAUGGAUUCUGAGACACGAAUCCAGGCCCUACGGGGUGCAGCAGGCGCGAAAUCUUUACAAUGUGCGAAAGCAUGAUAAGGGAACUCCGAGUGCCAGUAUCUAAUACUGGCUGUCCUUGUGCCUAAAGCGCACAAGAUAGCAAGGGCCGGGUAAGACCGGUGCCAGCCGCCGCGGUAACACCGGCGGCCCGAGUGGUAGCCGCUAUUAUUGGGUCUAAAGGGUCCGUAGCCGGUUCGAUAAGUCCUCUGGGAAAUCUGGUUGCUUAACAAUCAGACUGCCAAGGGAUACUGUCGAACUUGAGACCGGGAGAGGUAAGAGGUACUUCAGGGGUAGGAGUGAAAUCUUGUAAUCCCU